rnacentral:lncRNA from 1 species
AAAAAUAAUAUAAAUAUAAUUUAAAGAUAGUAGUCUUAUAAUCUAUGUAAUGUUUAAUUAAUAUUUAAAAAUAAUAAUAUUAAAUAAAAAUUAGUAAGUUUGGUUUACUCGAUUUGUUUGGUUUUUCGUGACACUCAUAAAAUUUAGAAUAGUUUUUUAUAUAAGAUAUAAUAAGAUAAUGCUUCUUAACUCGUUAAUAGUAUAUUCAGCAGUGAUUAGAAUUAAGAGGUCAAAAGGGUUAAGCAUGCUAUGAUAGAGUAGCUCUGGAAUGGAUGAGCCUCUGGGAAACGAGGUGUCACAGUUGGUAUCAGAAUCAAUUACCAGUCGGAAUUGUGAGAUGAGUCUCAGCUAAGCUAAGGUUAUACAGUUGAUAGAGCGUGGCUUACCGGCUGACGGCUAUUACGGGUGGAGCGCAGUUUCCCAUAGGGUUGGCUAAGUUUAGGGCUAAAAUUCUUAACCUUAUUAUAUUAUAUCUCGGAUCAUACAGCAGGUAGAGCAUGACUCCUAGACUGGUGACCACUGUGGAUGGAAUGCAGUUCCCCACAAGGUCGGCUAAGAUUAGCGAGACGAGUCUCAUAUCGUCUGAUAUUUGUGAGUGCACUUAAGCCUAAUGAGGACGUCAAGAACUAAAAAGAGAAAAUGUGACAUCUAUAAAAUUUGGAAUAGUCUAGUAAUAGCACAAAACUUUUCAACUGGAUUAUAAUAUUUUGGGUGUUGACUAGGUCUAAAAAAUUAAGAGAGUUAAAAUAUGUCGAAGCUAAAAGUAGUUCUAAAAUAGAUGACGCAAGGUAAGUGAGGUGUCACAAUU